GUGGUGAAGUGAAUAAGAUAAUCCAAGUAUGUAUAUGGUAAGCAUGAGUUCAAAAACAAUGCAUAGACACGAUAAUUGCAAAUUAAGUUCUAGUUCUAAUAGAUAGGGAAUGGCAUCAGAUUAGCGAGUUUUGAAUUAAGGCAAGAUAGUCAAGAUGUAAAUUCAAAGCAGGGUGCGGUCUUACUUCAGAGAUACAAUCGUUUAUGCAACAGAGAACUAACAACCUGGGCAUUGAACUUACUUCGCCGAAUCAAACAUGCUUAAAGGCU
rnacentral:sRNA from 1 species